GCCGGUGUAGCUCAACUGGUAGAGCAGCGCUCUUGUAAAGCGCGGGCUGGAGGUUCGAGUCCUCUCACCGGCU
rnacentral:tRNA from 1 species